CAAACCUGGAGAAGCGCCAGCUCAAGAUAUUAUUGUUGUCAUUGCUGUGGAUCUUUACCUGAUACACUGACUUGGCUCGGGACCAGCACUCCUGUUGUUGGACAGAAAGACAUCAACUCAGUGACUUGAGAUAUGACUGCACUAUGCUGUUGCUGGUGACCACAGUUAAUUCUACAAGACAUGCUGUGUAAGUGAACAAACAACAACAGUUUGGUCUGCAUUUCUUGAAAGAUCACAUCCCCCAAACUUAGUUUAGAGGGUCUACACUGUAUAUAGUGAAGUCUGCAAGUUUUCUAACAGCAAAAUCUGUUUUGUGCCCAAAAUCAUUUUGCACAUCAUUAGAAUGAAAGUUAUUGGCCAUGUUUGCAUAGCCCUUUUUUAAAAUGAUGCUUUCAUGACAUUAUUGUGUGUUGGGUGGUGGUCAGGGUUAUCCAGACUGACAAUUUGGGACAUUGAAUGUCACCUCUCCGGUGGGGAGGGAGCCUGAGAUCGUCUAAAUUGGAGUCUGUUUUAUACCAAAUGCAGAAAAAAAUGUUUUAAGAAAGCAAUUAAGUUCAUGUUCCAAAAAAUAUGAUUGUUUGCUUGCAGGACACCAGGAGAGAUGAGUCCUCCGUCACAGAUGGUGUGGUCAGUGAAGAUGGUCGCCUGCAGGUUCAAGCUCAUUGCAUCUCCAACCCACAUCCACUGCCAGUGUACUUAAGGGAAGUUAAAGACUUUCUUCUGCACCUACAUUUGGAUCACCUCGAUCCAUGACAGUCAUUCAGGCAGUAAUGCCUGGACUGGAAACAAG
ensembl:lncRNA